UACGUAGGUGGCAAGCGUUGUCCGGAAUCACUGGGCGUAAAGCGCGCGCAGGCGGCCAUUUAAGUCUGGGGUGAAAGCCCGGAGCUCAACUCCGGGACUGCCUUGGAUACUGGAUGGCUUGAGCAUUGGAGAGGCAAGGGGAAUUCCACGUGUAGCGGUGAAAUGCGUAGAGAUGUGGAGGAACACCCGUGGCGAAGGCGCCUUGCUGGCCAAUAGCUGACGCUGAGGCGCGAAAGCGUGGGGAGCAAACAGG
rnacentral:rRNA from 1 species